UAAUUUUCCCAAGAAUCCACUGGCUUUGCAGAGAGAGGGGGGUGGAGUGAAAUUAGAUGCAGAUGCUGGAGUCUAGCCCCUCAUAAGGGGAUUUGCGUCAGUUCACACUGUGCUAUUUAGAUAGGUUUACGUAUUAAAAAUACAUCUUUUAGCAUUUUGCCAUGAGGAGAAAAUGAUUUGACCUACAAUCACAAGUAACUGCUCUACCUAGAUAAUGCUUAGAGCAAGGGUAGUGAUUAGACUCCUCCCCCUUUGUCAGAUGCAUGAUGGGAAAUGUGGGCUGCAUUAGGAAAGCCAUACCAGAGGGGAAGAAGACAACCUGUGCAUGCCACAUCCACUACAAAAGGUUGACACAUGGCACGCAUCUUAUGUACAGACCUUGGCAUUAGUGAAGGACAAAAGAAAAGCGAAAAACAACAAAACAAAAUAGAGGGAAGGAUUGCCAACGGAGAAGGAAGAAGCAAAGGCAGAAGAGUUAAAACAAUGUGAAAGGCAAAGAGAGAUUUAUUUAUGUGUCAUUCGACUCCAGAGAGGAUUAAGUCUUGAGAAUUACUUUUCCACUACCCCUUAGGACUCCUUGGCAGCUUCUUCAAAUGUUGGCUGAUCAGCCGUAUUCCCGUGAAUGCCGGUAUAUAAGAAACGAACAUCAAUAUUUGGCUUAGAUCUUUUCCUUUUAAGGGGCAAGAUGAAUCAACAUGACAAGAUCUAUGCCAAGUUUUAAAAACAGAUGUUAAUGGCUCAGACUUUAAACGGAAAUAAUAUUAAAAUAAAAGAUAAAUUGAAUCACGAGGAGCCAUUAAAACUUCUUCAACAUGGAAUUAGAAGAAAAGCGAAAACAUUGGAGAAAAUAGGAAAAAAAAGCUAAA